rnacentral:lncRNA from 1 species
AGAUAAAGGAGGUUCCGGAAACUCUGGUAGUUGUGAAGGCGGCUCCCAGCUCUGACACUCUUGAACCCUGCGGGCGCGGAGGUCACACAGCAGAACAACCAAGGGAAGCAUCAUCUGGUUUCGAAUAUGUUUGAACCAGAGACGGCAAAUAGGCUUCAACCAGCUGAAAACACCAGAGAUUCAUGGUGGCCACCUGAGGGGUUGUGCUCUUAAAAAACAAAAAUUAAAAAUAAAAUUAAAAAAUUAAGAAAGGAAGGGGUCAAGAAUCCAUCAGGUCUGACUGAGACGUGUAUCAGUGACUAACACCCCGUAUGGCAAAAGUGCUCCGGUGCGCUUUGGGUUCUCUUCAGCAGUAUUUAAAGGCGUGUGCUUCCCUAAGACUAAGCCACGGGAAUACCCACAGCAACACUGCCAGGAGAAACGUCUCACAUGGAUUUGGCUAGAAAUACAGUUGUCUUUAACAAACUAACACUGAAUAAAUCCUGCCUUAUUAGAGCCUGAGAGGAUGACAUUCUCAAUGAUAACAGUUAUCACUAUAAUCUCCAAACAUCUGCGAUCCUGCAAGGAGGAACUGUGACAGCGCAGGUCACGUGUCCAGAAUGCUUCCCAGACUGCCUGUUACAGAAUAAAAGAAAUGAAACCCCCCCCCCAAGAAUGUCUUCUCUCACAUUUAGCCAGUUGUUCCUUUGUGUGCAUCUCUGUGCUAAAAUGGCCAUUCUUCCCCACAGCCUGAAGUCAUAUGCUACAAUAAAUGAGACUCACAUGAAGCCAGAAACGUGCAGAUGCGAGGAAACCAACACAACUGAAAUGGGCUGGAGAGUGUGGCCAGGAGGAUGGUACUUCCCAGGAAGCAAUUACUUCAUCUCUGCCCAUGAAGCAGGCAGCUGUCACUGUCCCCCAGGCCCACACCAGCCACUCGAAGUACGUUCUAACCAAACUACCUCCAACAGUCAACAUCAAUACACCACACAAUUGGCUUCUGAAAGGACACCUUGCAACCAACAAGAAACUGCCAUGAGCACUGGCUGCAUGUCUGCUACGGCCCGGACUGCAAGGGAGGCACCCUAGGGAACACAGAUGACCUCAGCACAGCGACACCCUCAAGGAGCACACACGGAGAAGGCAAGAUGAUACAAUCGCAGACUUCACACAGAAAAGAACGUGGCAUCCAUACCCUGUCCCAUUUCUAGAAAACAACGAUGCUGAGUCAGUAAUAUUUACCGAACAGCCUGCAGUGUGGAGGCAGGCACGAGGGGGCUCCAUGCGGGGAAGAGCACCUUCAGAAGGGGGCAUGCAAACAACGUGGAGGCAGGAGACGCCCCCACGCACAAGGGCCAGCCUGGGGGCCUGCAGAAAUGCCCAUGCAUCUGGGAAGAGGGAGAGAGGACAAGAUACUUAAAUGCUCCAAAACGAAUAGAAGCCUCCCAAGAACCUCCCCCGAAAUUGGGCAGGGAUUUAAAAAAGACCAAACCCAGCAUGCGCAGUUACCUGAGCAUAGCGCCAGGAGAGCAAGCUCUUCCAGGAAGAAACAGGGUCCCUAGAAGCCUGAGCCUCUACUCCCAGCUCUGCAACUCAUUCACCCUAUGACCUUGGUGAAGGCUCUUAGCUUCUGUGAGCCACAAGAGAAUCACGCGAAAACAGAAGAUAUGAAAACUGCUCUGCCUUUUUCACAGAACUGCUGAGGGAAUAAAAUCAGAUCAUGGAUUUUAAAAUUCUCUGUGAAUUACGAAGUAAAAUACAAAAAUACGAAAUCAUUCUUACCAUUAGUAACAGCUCUGUAAAAUUAAGAGCAGAGGUAAGAUCACAGCAUUUUCCACCUCCCGACUCCCGAGAGAAAUAGUGAGUCCAGCCGAUGUAUUUGUGCAACCCCAGUAUCUAGGCUUUGAGAGCCUCAAACCGCUCAUGAACUCUGAUAGUAUCACUCCAGCCCACUGCUCAUUAAGUUCUCCAAGACAGCCAACUGACCUAAAAUACUACAGCUUUUUCAGCUGGGCUUGAAGCCCAGCACACAGCACAGCUAAACAGUGAAGAGGUUUUCUGCCACUAGACUCAAAAGCUGGCUUUUGUAGAUUCCCAUAGAAAGAACAUUCAAGGCCAGGCAUCGCGGCACAUGCCUGUAAUCCCAGCAAUUUGGGAAGCCGAGGCAGGAGGAUCACCUGAGGUCAGAAGUUCAAGAACAGCCUGGCCAAUAUGGCAAAGCCCCAUCUGUACUAAAAAUACAAAAAUUAGCUGGGCAUGCUGGCGGGCACCUGUAAUCCCAGCUACUCGGGAGGCUGAGGCAGGAAAAUCGCUUGAACUUAGGAGGCCGAGGUUGCAGUGAGCUGAGAUCAUGCCACUGCACUCCAGCCUGGGCGACAAGAGCGAAACUCCAUCUCAAAGAAAAAAAAAAAAAAAGAAAGAAAGAGCAUUCUUUUUUGCUGAUGUUAAAUUUCCUGUGCUUAACACAGAGAAAUCAUACAACACUGAAAUCCUGAAAAACAUAUCAUAAAAAGCAUUUAGCGACUGAAAAGACAUUCAAUAUAACCUGUAACAGUGAGUUCCCCUCCUCUUUCCAGCCAGCUCCACUAACGCUGUGACCCUUAAUAAUGCUUCCACUAACACAGAGGAAAAUUAAUAGGACCGCUUACCCCUCUCAGCUGACAGCUAAACCAGUGCUUCUCCCUGGGCUCACUAAAGAUGACCUUUACCCAAAACCAGGCUGCAACGACCCUGUAGAUGUUGACUAACGAUUUCAAAAUUCCCAUAUUCUUUGUCCAUUCCUAAGGAAGAUGAACUGAAGCCAGGUGUCUCCAAGUCAGAACUAACAGAGGCCUUAAACAUCAGAUGGCCCAUUCCCUUCUUUGACAACUGGGGUAUCUAAAGCUGAGCUUAUGGAAGAAAACAGCCUGUUUAGUAACAAAGCGAAAACCAAAGCCUAGUCACCCAACCUCUGGUCUGGAACUUCUGCGACAAUCCAGCACCCAUACAGGGUGAGUCUCCCUAACCAGAAACUCUGAAAUCCGCAACUUUUGAGUGCCGACGUGAUGGUCAACGAAAUGUUCAUUGGAACAGCUCAGACUCUAGAUUUUUGAAUUCAGGAUGCUCAACCAGCAAGUAUAAUACAAAUAUUCAAAAAUCCAAAAAUGUAAAAACAUCUGAGACACUUCUGGUUCCAAGCAGUUUGGAUGAGGGAUAUUCAACCUGCAUUUUUUGUUUUUUCCUCUAAUGAAGGAAAUUAGAAACGAGACCCGAGCAAAGUCAUUCAAUCCAUACUAAAGUCAUUCGAUAGUUUAAUGAGUACCCAUUUAGAGUUAAGUGCUACCCGCAGAUAUAAAAAAGGAUGAAUACAUACAUGCCUAUAAUCCCAGAACUUCGGAAGGCCGAUGUCGGGAGUCCAAGACCAGCCCGGCCAGCAUGGUGAAACUCCAUCUCUACUAUAAAUGCAAAAAUUAGCCGGGCGUGGUGGCUCACACCUGUUAUCCCAGCUACUCUGGAGGCUGAGGCACAAGAAUCGCUUGAACCUGGGGGGAGCACGUUGCAGUGAGCCGAGAUCACACCACUGUACUCCAGCCUGGACCACAGAGGAAGACUCUGUCUCAAAAAAAAAAAAGAAAAAAGAAAAUUUAAAUUGUGUUUUCACAUGGAGCCCAUGUUCCCAGAACACAAGCCCUGCUGUAUGCUCCAAAGGCACACAGGGUGCCCCUUUAUCUUAAUGCUCACCAUAUUCCAUGGCAGCCACUGGCACGUGUCUGUCCAUCACACUAGACUUCCUGCGCAUGAGGCAACGAUCAUGUAUUAUUACCUUUCUGUCCCCAAUGUCUGGCCUAGAAGACACUCAGUAAAUGAUUACUGAACUAAGUCAGUUACUAAGACAUUUUAAACUUGUAUUAACAAAAUUGAUUUAAUAAGUUUGUCAAUGCAGCGUUCAUACCACACAGCUUAAAUCUCAACCUGCGGAUUUAUCUUGUGUUCUGCUAGAUUAUCACCUAUUAACAUUCAGGAGGCACCUAGUAUGUGCUAGGCAUUACUAAUUGCUGGGGACCUAGCAGUGACAAAACAACAUUCCUUGUUCAAAGAGAAGUUCUAGUAUAAAGAGGAAUAGAAGGAACAGGCUAGAUUGAUGAGAGAGCUAAGAAAAGGACAGGCUGCCAUGGGAAGCACCUGGUCUUAUCUGGAUGGU